rnacentral:rRNA from 1 species
UACGUAGGGGGCAAGCGUUGUCCGGAUUUAUUGGGCGUAAAGAGCUCGUAGGCGGUUUGUCGCGUCUGCUGUGAAAACUGGAGGCUCAACCUCCAGCCUGCAGUGGGUACGGGCAGACUAGAGUGCGGUAGGGGAGAUUGGAAUUCCUGGUGUAGCGGUGGAAUGCGCAGAUAUCAGGAGGAACACCGAUGGCGAAGGCAGAUCUCUGGGCCGUAACUGACGCUGAGGAGCGAAAGCGUGGGGAGCGAACAGG